GAUGAACGCUGGCGGCGUGCCUAAUACAUGCAAGUCGAGCGAACAGACGAGAGUGCUUGCACUCUCUGCCGUUAGCGGCGGACGGGUGAGUAACACGUGGGUAACCUACCUAUAAGACUGGGAUAAUUUCGGGAAACCGGAGCUAAUACCGGAUAAUAUUUAGCUUCGCAUGAAGCAAUAGUGAAAGACGGUUCUGCUGUCACUUAUAGAUGGACCCGCGGUGUAUUAGCUAGUUGGUGAGGUAACGGCUCACCAAGGCAACGAUACAUAGCCGACCUGAGGGGGUGAUCGGCCACACUGGGACUGAGACACGGCCCAGACUCCUACGGGAGGCAGCAGUAGGGAAUCUUCCGCAAUGGACGAAAGUCUGACGGAGCAAUGCCGCGUGAGUGAAGAAGGUUUUCGGAUCGUAAAACUCUGUUGUAAGGGAAGAACAAGUACGUUAGUAACUGAACGUACCUUGACGGUACCUUACCAGAAAGCCACGGCUAACUACGUG
rnacentral:rRNA from 1 species